UUAGGAAUAUUGGACAAUGGGCGCAAGCCUGAUCCAGCCAUGCCGCGUGAGUGAUGAAGGCCUUCGGGUUGUAAAACUCUUUAGCCGAUGAAUAUAAUGACUGUAGUCGGAGAAUAAGCCCCGGCUAACUUCGUGCCAGCAGCCGCGGUAAUACGAAGGGGGCGAGCGUUAUUCGGAAUCACUGGGCGUAAAGCGUGCGUAGGCUGUUCAGAAAGUCAGGAGUGAAAGCCCAAGGCUCAACCUUGGAAGUGCUCUUGAAACUUCUGGACUAGAAUUCAGGAGAGGAUAGCGGAAUUCCCAGUGUAGCAGUGAAAUGCGUAGAUAUUGGGAGGAACACCAGUGGCGCAAGCGGCUAUCUGGACUGACAUUGACGCUGAGGCACGAAAGCGUGGGGAUCAAACAGGAUUAGAUACCCGCGUAGUCC
rnacentral:rRNA from 1 species